rnacentral:rRNA from 1 species
CCUACGGGAGGCAGCAGUGGGGAAUAUUGCACAAUGGGGGGAACCCUGAUGCAGCGACGCCGCGUGAGUGAAGAAGUCUUUCGGUAUGUAAAGCUCUAUCAGCAGGGAAGAAAAUGACGGUACCUGCCUACGAAGCCCCGGCUAACUACGUGCCAGCAGCCGCGGUAAUACGUAGGGGGCAAGCGUUAUCCGGAUUUACUGGGUGUAAAGGGAGCGCAGACGGCUGUGCAAGUCUGGAGUGAAAGGCGGGGGCCCAACCCCCGGACUGCUCUGGAAACUGGAAAGCUGGAGUGCGGGAGAGGUAAGCGGAAUUCCUGGUGUAGCGGUGAAAUGCGUAGAUAUUAGGAGGAACACCAGUGGCGAAGGCGGCUUACUGGACUGCAACUGACGUUGAGGCUCGAAAGCGUGGGGAGCAAACAGGAUUAGAUACCCGGGUAGUC